UGUAGACGAUGUCGAUUUGGAGGUUGUUCCCUUGAGGAGUGGCUUCCGGAGCUAACGCGUUAAAUCGACCGCUGGGGAGUACGGCCGCAAGGUUAAAACUCAAAUGAAUUGACGGGGGCCCGCACGAGCGGUGGAGCAUGUGGUUUAAUUCGAUGCAACGCGAAGAACCUUACCUACUCUUGACAUCCAGAGAAUUUAGCAGAGAUGCUUUAGUGCCUUCGGGAACUCUGAGACAGGUGCUGCAUGGCUGUCGUCAGCUCGUGUUGUGAAAUGUUGGGUUAAGUCCCGCAACGAGCGCAACCCUUAUCCUUUGUUGCCAGCACGUUAUGGUGGGAACUCAAAGGAGACUGCCGGUGAUAAACCGGAGGAAGGUGGGGAUGACGUCAAGUCAUCAUGGCCCUUACGAGUAGGGCUACACACGUGCUACAAUGGCGUAUACAAAGAGAAGCGACCUCGCGAGAGCAAGCGGAACUCAUAAAGUACGUCGUAGUCCGGAUUGGAGUCUGCAACUCGACUCCAUGAAGUCGGAAUCGCUAGUAAUCGUAGAUCAGAAUGCUACGGUGAAUACGUUCCCGGGCCUUGUACACACCGCCCGUCACACCAUGGGAGUGGGUUGCAAAAGAAGUAGGUAGCUUAACCUUCGGGAGGGCGCUUACCACUUUGUGAUUCAUGACUGGGGUGAAGUCGUAACAAGGUAACCA
rnacentral:rRNA from 1 species